AUUUCACCAGGCACAUCCCUGCAGGAGGAAGAGAGAUCCCAGAGGAGAGCAUCAAGAGUGACUGGCCUCUGGAAACUGCACAAUACCCAUUGUGUAAGGAGGAGAACUGGAAGUUCACCAGCCUCAGUGUCCUGCCAACUCAGCCAGGUCACCUGGACCACUGGGGUCCACGACCACCAGGGACCACCAGAGAGACCUCCAGGACAGAAGAGCACAUGUGUAAGGGGGAGGGGAAAUACGCUAAUGAUUUUGGGGAAAUUAUUGUCAUAUGUAUGUUUAGUCUGGGGCAAUCGAUGAAUAUGUAUAAAAAUAUGGACUAUAAACAGAAACUUUCCUGUACUCAGCAGGCACAGCUUUGGGAGGAGCAUUCCCCCCGAGCAUCCAGCCAAAUAAAGAGUGCCUGCUUCUUAAUGCUA